GACGAACGCUGGCGGCGUGCUUAACACAUGCAAGUCGUACGGUAAGGCCCUUUCGGGGGUACACGAGUGGCGAACGGGUGAGUAACACGUGAGUAACCUGCCCACAACUUUGGGAUAACGCUAGGAAACUGGUGCUAAUACUGGAUAUGUGCUCCUGCUGCAUGGUGGGGGUUGGAAAGCUCCGGCGGUUGUGGAUGGACUCGCGGCCUAUCAGCUUGUUGGUGGGGUAGUGGCCUACCAAGGCGGCGACGGGUAGCCGGCCUGAGAGGGUGGCCGGCCACAUUGGGACUGAGAUACGGCCCAGACUCCUACGGGAGGCAGCAGUGGGGAAUAUUGCACAAUGGGCGCAAGCCUGAUGCAGCAACGCCGCGUGCGGGAUGACGGCCUUCGGGUUGUAAACCGCUUUCAGCAGGGACGAAGCUUUUUGUGACGGUACCUGCAGAAGAAGCACCGGCUAACUACGUG
rnacentral:rRNA from 1 species